rnacentral:misc_RNA from 1 species
CUGGCGGCUGGCUCAGAACGAACGCUGGCGGCUGGCUCAUACCCAACGCUGGCGGCUGGCUCAGAACGAACGCUGGCGGCAGUGGGACUCCUACGGGAGGCAGCAGUGGGACUCCUACGGGAGGCAGCAGUGGGACUCCUACGGGAGGCAGCAGUGGGGCAGUUGGCUCAGAACGAACGCUGGCGGCCCCACUCCUACGGGAGGCAGCAG